rnacentral:rRNA from 1 species
AAAAGCUCGUAGUUGGAUCUCAGGCGCAGGCGGGCGGUCCGGCUCGCGCCGGCUCACUGCCCGUUGUCUCCUGCCCUACCCGUCUGCCGGCUCUCUCCCGCGGGUGCUCUUCACUGAGCGUCCCGGGUGGCCGGCGCGUUUACUUUGAAAAAAUUAGAGUGUUCAAAGCAGGCCGAGCUGCCUGAAUAAUGGUGCAUGGAAUAAUGGAAUAGGACCUCGGUUCUAUUUUGUUGGUUUUCGGAACUGGAGGUAAUGAUUAACAGGGACAAACGGGGGCAUUCGUAUUGCGGCGUUAGAGGUGAAAUUCUUGGAUCGCCGCAAGACGAACUACUGCGAAAGCAUUGGUCAAGAAUGUUUUCAUUAGUCAAGAACGAAAGUCAGAGGCGCGAAGACGAUCAGAUACCGUCGUAGUUCUGACCAUAAACUAUGCCACCUGGCCAUCCGCAGGAGUUGCUUCGAUGACUCUGCGGGCGGCCUCCGGGAAACCAAAGGUUUUGGGUUCCGGGGGAAGUAUGGUUGCAAAGCUGAAAUU